CCUACGGGAGACUGCAGUGGGGAAUAUUGCACAAUGGGGGAAACCCUGAUGCAGCGACGCCGCGUGAGUGAAGAAGUAAUUCGUUAUGUAAAGCUCUAUCAGCAGGGAAGAAAAUGACGGUACCUGAGUAAGAAGCCCCGGCUAACUACGUGCCAGCAGCCGCGGUAAUACGGAGGGGGCAAGCGUUAUCCGGAUUUACUGGGUGGAAAGGGAGCGUAGACGGCAGUGCAAGGCUGGAGUGAAAGGCGGGGGCUCAACCCCCGGACUGCUCUGGAAACUGUACGGCUGGAGUGCAGGAGAGGUAAGUGGAAUUCCUAGUGUAGCGGUGAAAUGCGUAGAUAUUAGGAGGAACACCAGUGGCGAAGGCGGCUUACUGGACUGUAACUGACGUUGAGGCUCGAAAGCGUGGGGAGCAAACAGGAUUAGAUACCCCUGUAGUC
rnacentral:rRNA from 1 species